ACCUUCCACUCCAUUUUACCCUGCUUUCUUUUUUUUUCUUUUAAGAUUCUUUUUUUGAUGUGGACCGUCUUUUUUGAACUUAUUACAAUAUUGCUUCUGUUUAAUUGUUAUCACUAUUAUUAUUUUUGGCCACAAGACAUGUAAGGUCUUAGCUCCCUGCUCAGGAAUUGAACCUGCGCCGCAUGGACUGGACAGUGACAUCUUAACCACUGGACCGCCAGGGAAGUCCCCACUCUGCUUUCUUCAUUCUUUGCAAACAUGCUGCCCAUGCGGUGUGAAUCACCGAGUGGGCUGUGUUCUGGGCCCGACUCUGUCAUUAACUGGCACAGUGACCAGGUAAGCAUCCUCCCCUUGCUAGACCUCAGUUUAUACAGCCACUCAGUGUAGGGUUUGGCCUGUAUCCGUGGUGUCCAAAUUCUUUUUAAGUUGAACCUGUUUUUCAAAUAGAAUCUUAACUUCUAAAAACCAGAGUGCUCCAACUGACCUGUGAGUAGAAGAACUAAUACUCUCUCCAC
rnacentral:lncRNA from 1 species